rnacentral:misc_RNA from 1 species
UCUUCACUCAUAUCUGACACCCCCUCGCUCGUGAGCUGUCAGCGAAAGACGAACGCACGCACAGCCAUAGAGGAGGGACGCGACAUCGUCUCGCGCAGAGCUGCAGGUGCACGGAACGCUUUCAAUGGUGUCGGCGUCUCCGCCGCAGCGCGACCGCGGCUCGCCGCCAACGCCACCACUGCCCGAGCCGCAAGACGUCGAUGCCCCGGCCGCCAGCACCGUCCAGGCUCUGCGGCAGGCAGUCGAGGCGCAGGAGGCCCAUGUACGUCUCCUGCGCGCGCGCCAAGCAGCGAGAGAGGCGCUGCUGCGCCACACUCGGCGAUUACUGGCGGCCAACGACUCGAUCGAGUCGCCUGGCUCGGUGGAGCAACUUGUGCGUCAGGUGGAGACGAGUCUCCAGAAACUUCAGCAGGCCCACAGUGAGGCUGCUGCACCGGCGGCGACCGCGGGAGACGAUGUGGCGCCGACUUCCGCGCCGUCACUGACACCCCAGAAUGCCGCUGGCGAUGCCGACGCUAGCGCCGAUCCGCUGGCUCGCAUCUUUCACAGCGGCGUGGAGGCGCAGCUGGCUGCGGUCGCCGAGCCACCGCACACUCUUCCGGCGUCGACGCUCGCAUCACGCUCAUCGAUGGCGAAGAGAAAGAAGGAGGCUGACGAAUCCGGCUUGACGAACGCCGGGAGCACCACCUCCUCGCCACCGGAUGUGCCGUUCCCGCCGAGAAGUACUGCGAUGACCGCCCUUCUCGCCGUGUCCGCAUCUCGGCAGGAGGCCGGCCACGCCGCGAUGCUCGCUGCCCUCAGCGCCCUCGAGCUUCCUUUCAUGAGCAACAGCGGCGCGACUGAGGCGGGCCGCGACGUCCACAACGCAGAGCCAGCCUGGCUGCGUCAAGUGGACGGUGACGGUGCCAACGACGACGACUCGGCGCCUGAGGAGCAGCAGCAAGAGAAGUAUGGAAAUCGCGGCGAUAUCGCCUCCUCUGAUUACAGUGACGACUUUGAGUGCGGCAGCAGCACCAGCAGCGGUGCCGAUGAUUGAAAACCGCCAACUGGGAGGCCGAGUUGGCAGCCCCCUCCUUCUCCCCCCUCUCUGCCGGCGAACGUCGGCGCUGGCAGUGGGCGUGAAGGAAGUCGCUUGUGUUGCUUGUUGGAAUCCUUUGGUUGCCAUCGCUGAAGCCCCCUUGUUGUGGAAGGCACACAAGCGACGCAGAACAGAAUGCUGAAGGUCCGAGCGUGGAUAGGAGGCGAAACGGGAGGGCGAGCACACGGUGUGCUGCCCCACCGUGGGCGUCAUGCCGCGGCCAAGACAGGGUAGGUGACAGCGAGAGACGCAUGUGGGCGUACGAGGGCAGCUGCAACUCGAGCCCGAGACGUGGGCGUGUAUCACCGCCUCUGCGCGGCUGUAGUUAUCGAUCACACCACCGCCUCGCCUCGCCAUGCUCACAGAAGAUUCCUGCAAGCCUACCAACACCCUGCUCCCCUCCCCCUCACGCACUCCUCCCACCUUCCUGUUCGCAUUGCCUGCAAUGGCAAUACUGACGCGUGAGUGCGCGUGUGCUUCACCGUAAAAACGAUGUAAUCACCUUUCCCGAACCAAG